CUGACACCCCGUCGGCCGCAGGCGAGUGCCGCGUCCUGGGGCCCGACGAUGAGGGCCAGGGCAUGCACUGGUUUCUCGACGGUAGGGUCGGCGAUGUAUUCUGCAUCAAGUUCCAGCGCUGGCAGGAGGCGGGCAAAGAUGUGAAAAGGCUUUCGUGGAAGCAGGUCGGCAGGGAGCAGCUCAGCGAGGGACAGUUGACGCUUGCGGGUUCACCACGGU
rnacentral:SRP_RNA from 1 species